CGAUAACGAACGAGACCUUAACCUGCUAAAUAGUGGCGUCAACCUUGGUUGAUGGUCACUUCUUAGAGGGACUGACUACGAUUAGUGGUCGGAAGUUUGAGGCAAUAACAGGUCUGUGAUGCCCUUAGAUGUUCUGGGCUGCACGCGCGCUACACUGACAAAGACAGCAAGUAUACAACCUUGGCCGAAAGGUCUGGGCAAUCUUUUGAAACUUUGUCGUGCUGGGGAUAGACCAUUGCAAUUAUUGGUCUUCAACGAGGAAUUCCUAGUAAGCGCAUGUCACCAGCAUGCGUUGAUUACGUCCCUGCCCUUUGUACACACCGCCCGUCGCUACUACCGGAUUGAAUGGCU
rnacentral:rRNA from 1 species